rfam:Capsicum annuum cultivar Zunla-1 chromosome 5, whole genome shotgun sequence
AUACUUACCUGGAUGGGGUCAAUGGCGGAUCCAGAAGGUCCAUGGCCUAGGUUGGUGACCUCCAUUGCAAUUUGGAGGGUACCUGCCUAAGGUCGGUCCAAGUGGCCUGAGCCUAUGUCAUAAUUUGUGGCAGCGGGGGCCUGCAUAACUGCUUGAACAGA